GGGUGCGACCAUACCGGCACUAAGGCACCGAAUCCCAUCAGAACUCCGCAGUCAAGCGUGCUCGGGCGGGAGUAGUACUAAUAUGGGUGACCUCGUGGGAUGUCCUCGUGUUGCACCCC
rfam:Citrus clementina cultivar Clemenules unplaced genomic scaffold scaffold_9, whole genome shotgun sequence.